rnacentral:rRNA from 1 species
UUUUCAGCAGCCGCGGUAAUACGUAGGGGGCAAGCGUUGUCCGGAUUUAUUGGGCGUAAAGAGCGUGUAGGCGGCCAGACAGGUCCGUUGUGAAAACUCGAGGCUCAACCUCGAGACGUCGACGGAAACCGUCUGGCUAGAGUCCGGAAGAGGAGUGUGGAAUUCCUGGUGUAGCGGUGAAAUGCGCAGAUAUCAGGAAGAACACCUAUGGCGAAGGCAGCACUCUGGGACGGUACUGACGCUGAGACGCGAAAGCGUGGGGAGCGAACAGGAUUAGAAACCCUCGUAGUCC